rnacentral:rRNA from 1 species
GACGAACGCUGGCGGCGUGCUUAACACAUGCAAGUCGAACGGAAAGGCCCUGCUUGCAGGGUCCUCGAGUGGCGAACGGGUGAGUAACACGUGGGUGAUCUGCCCUGCACUUCGGGAUAAGCCUGGGAAACUGGGUCUAACACCGGAUAGGAGCCAUUUUGAGUGUGAUGGUUGGAAAGUUUUUUCGGUGUAGGAUGAGCUCGGGGCCUAUCCGCUUGUUGGUGGGGUAAUGGCCUACCAAGGCGGCGACGGGUAGCCGGCCUGAGAGGGUGGACGGCCACAGUGAGACUGAGAUACGGCCCAGACUCCGACGGGAGGGAGAAGUGGGGAAUAGUGCACAAUGGGCGCAAGCCUGAUGCAGCGACGCCGCGUGGGGGAUGACGGCCUUCGGGUUGUAAACGCCUUGCGCUAGGGACGAAGCUUUUUGUGACGGUACCUAGAUAAGAAGCACCGGCUAACUACGUG